GGGGGUGUGGUGAAAUGGUAGACACAAUGGACUUAAAAUCCAUCGACUUUCAAAGGUCAUGGGGGUUCAAGUCCCCCUGCCCCUA
rnacentral:tRNA from 1 species